GCAUAUCAAUAAGCGGAGGAAAAGAAAAUAACAAUGAUUCCCCUAGUAACUGCGAGUGAAGAGGGACAAGCUCAAAUUCUAAAUCUGUUAGGUUCUACCUGACCGAGUUGUAAUUUGAAGAGGCGUUUUCUGUGGUUCUGAUCAGUCCAAGUCCUUUGGGAUAAGGCAUCGCGGAGGGUGAGAAUCCCGUUCGGUUGAUCAGGUCACUUUACGAUACGUCAUCAAAGAGUCAAGUUGUUUGGGAUUGCAGCUUAAAAUGGGAGGUAAAUUUCUCCUAAGGCUAAAUAACGGCGAGAGACCGAUAGCGAACAAGUACCGUGAGGGAAAGAUGAAAAGAACUUUGAAAAGAGAGUUAAACAGUACGUGAAAUUGUUGAAAGGGAAACGAUUAAAGCCAGUCGUACCGGCGGGUAAUCAGCCUUUUGGGUGUGAUUAUGUGGAACGUGAGGAGUUUAAUCGCCUUCAUGCCCUGCAUAUUCGUGCACUUUGGGUGUACUUGCUCGUGUGGUUAGGUUAACAUCAAUUUCGAUCAUCAUAAAAUGAUUGGGGGAAUGUAGCUUCGAUCUCGUAUUGAAGUGUUAUAGACUCUGGUAGAUGUGAUGAUCGGGAUUGAGGAUUGCAACGGAUACCCUUAUGGGCUACCCGUCUGAUCUCUGAGAGUUACUCUGGUGCCGAAAGCGUGCUUACGGUAUCAAAGUUGACGUUCAAUAGGUUAGAACGGGUUAAAUUCGGUAAGGAUGUUGACGUAAUGGCUUUAAACGAC
rnacentral:rRNA from 1 species